rnacentral:rRNA from 1 species
GACGAACGCUGGCGGCGUGCUUAACACAUGCAAGUCGAACGGUAAGGCCCUUCGGGGUACACGAGUGGCGAACGGGUGAGUAACACGUGGGUGAUCUGCCCUGCACUUCGGGAUAAGCCUGGGAAACUGGGUCUAAUACCGGAUAGGACUCCUGGCUUCAUGGUUGGGGGUGGAAAGCUUUUGCGGUGUGGGAUGGGCCCGCGGCCUAUCGGCUUGUUGGUGGGGUAAUGGCCUACCAAGGCGACGACGGGUAGCCGGCCUGAGAGGGUGACCGGUCACACUGGGACUGAGAUACGGCCCAGACUCCUACGGGAGGCAGCAGUGGGGAAUAUUGCACAAUGGGCGCAAGCCUGAUGCAGCGACGCCGCGUGAGGGAUGACGGCCUUCGGGUUGUAAACCUCUUUCAGCUAUGACGAAGCGCAAGUGACGGUAGUAGCAGAAGAAGGACCGGCCAACUACGUGCCAACCGCCGCAGUAA